CUGGGUGGCUUGAAAACAUACGCAGUACUCCAUGCUACUGCCCAAAACACCAAAUUAGGUCUCAAGAAAGAAGUCCGAUGGCUACAUGGCACACCAGAAGUCAGAUAAUGGGACUCAUUUCAAAAACUCCCUUGUAAAUACUUGGGCCAAAGAUCAUGGCAUUGAGUGGAUUUAUCAUAUCCCCUGUCACGCACCAGCCUCUGGUAAAAUUGAACAAUACAAGGGGGUGUCAAAAACUGUUGAAAGCAAUGGGUGGCAGAACAUCUAAGCAUUGGGAGAAGUAUUUGGCAGAAGGUACCUGGUUGGUAAACACUAGAGGAUUGGUCAGUCAUGAUGGUCCUGCCAGCUCCCUACAUACUGUCAAGGGAGAUAAGGUCCUUGUAGUACAUGUAAAGAACAUGGGGAAAAACAUUUUGGGUCUUUCCAGCUUCUGGGAAGGGAAAACCUCUUCGUGGAACUGUUUUUGCCCAGAGACCUGGGUCCACUUGGUGAGUGAUGCAGAAAGAUGGGGAUGUUCGUUGUGUACCACAAGGGAAUCUGAUGUUGGGGGAGUGCAGCCAGUCAUUCCGUGUGUGUGUGUGUGUGUAUGUAUGUAUGUAUGUCUGUGCAUGAGUUUAAUGCUUGUUAAUUAUUGUUUUUUGUUUGUAUAUAUUAAGCAUGAUGUAGUGAUGUAGAAUAAGGGGUGGAAUGUUACGGUUUUAUGAUUUUUGGUUGUCAGUAUUCCAUAUCAUAACAUGAUGUAGUGUACUGGGAGUUAAAGAGUUAAUGCUCCAGUUCCAGGUACGUGUCCCAGAAGAGAAGAAGAACUACAUACCCCAGAGGACUUUGCAUUCAGAGAGGCGGUAUAACCCCUGCCUGUGUGCCCCAGCUUUCCUCUGAGGACCACUGUGGUGCCUGGCCCACAACAAGUGCUGCAUGAGAGCUGCAGCGUGAGAGCUGCUCUGGCCAGAUGCAGCCAUGUCAUCACCAGCUUUCAUCAGCCCCAGCUCUGCUGUCACCAUGGUUCUGGAAGUGCUCAGGUCACCUCGCUCCCGGUUGUUCUGACACAAAAGCAACAAGACACCGAAGGCUGCCUUGACAAAAAGAAGCUGAAAUCCUACAAAAGGGCAAAUAGCGCAAAAGGGGGGCCCCUCCGCUGCUGUCAACCUGUGUUAUGGCUCGACAGAUCCUGCCUUGUGAUUCUGCCCAGUGAGGAUGCCCCGUGGCAUAAGCUCACCAUAUGACUGCACGCUGUGCACAUUGAGGUACCAGCUCUGAAGCACAAGGACGCUGCUGCUUUAUUGGAGAUCAAUUAUUGUCUUGAUAAGAAACAACAUACCAAUCAUCCAAAAUGGAAAUGUGGUAAAUCUUGCAUAAAUCUAUUCCUCCCGAAAUGAGCAUAGAUGAAAAAAAUAUAUGUACAUAUAAAUAUGUAAGUCAAUAAGAGCUGAUAUGAUGCAUUUACCUAAAGUUAAUUUUGACUGUGGAACAUACCUUCGUAUUUUUCUGACUGCAUACUUGUGAUUACAGUAUAUACACACAGAUUAAAGAUUUCUGCAAAAUCUAAGAAGAGGAUCCACACCAGGGUGCUGAUCUUUCAGCCUACACUCCAAUACAGGCCUGGACCCAUGAUCAACUCACUCUACUCACCCUUCGCCCAUUUGCACUUCAG
rnacentral:lncRNA from 1 species